rnacentral:rRNA from 1 species
GACGAACGCUGGCGGCGUGCCUAAUACAUGCAAGUCGAACGCAGUGGGGACGGGUGAGUAACACGUGGGUAACCUCCCAUCAGAGGGGAUAACACUUGGAAACAGGUGCUAAACCGAUACUGAUGGAUGGACCCGCGGUGCAUUAGCUAGUGGGUGAGGUAAAGGCUCACCAAGGCCACGAUGCAUAGCCGACCGGAGGUGGGGUGCGGCCACACUGGAACUGAGACACGGCCAAGACUCCGACGGGAGGCAGCAGUAGGGAAGCUUGGGCAAUGGACGAAAGUCUGACCGAGAAAUGCUGCGUGAGUGAAGAAGGUUUUCGGAUCGGAAAACUCUGUUGUGAGAGAAGCGGUAUCUAACCAGAAAGCCACGGCUAACUACGUGCCAGCCGCCGCGGUAAUAC